AAGAAUUGACCGUAUAAGUGUGAGUUCUCACUGUGAUCACCCAUUCUUUUGAGUACAUUGAGCAUCUUUAUGAUUAUUACCUUGAACUCUUCAUCAGGUAGGUUAUUUAACUCAACUUCACUUAGUUCUUUUGGAGUUUAUCUUGUUCCUUCAUUUGGGGUACAUUCCUCUGUUGCCUCAUGUUACCUAAUCGUCUGUUUUGUUUCUAUGUAUUUGAUAGGUCAGUUACUUUCCCAGUCUUGAAAAACUGCCAUAUGUAGGAGAUGUGGGAGGCCCAGCAGCACAUUUGCCGUGGUCACCAGAACUGCAUGCUCUAGGGGGACCCCCCACCCCCAUGUGGGCUGUCUGUGUCCUUCUGUUGUGGCUGAGCCAGCCACUGUGGGCAUGCUGGUUGGCAAGGCAGGGUCCCCACUCAUUGGCUGCCAGGAUUUCCUGGUAUGGAGGUUUCUGGCUACUGGUGGAUAGGGCAGUGUACUGGUAUGGCUAACACUGUUGCCUGGAGCCUUAGGGCUGGUGCCAGCUCACUAGUGGGCAGGACUGGGACUUUGGUUUUCCUAGAACUGGCUCCAGCCUGCUCAUGGGUAAGUUCAGGUCCUGGGCCUGCUUGUGGUUGGGACUGGGUCCUGGGGCUGCUGGCUGGGGGAGUUAGGGGAGUGGUCUAUGGCCAGUGCUGAUCAGCUGAUAAGCAGUUAAGCCCCACGUGCUAGUAGGCGAGAGGGAGGGCUCCAAGUCGCCCUCAUCAGCACCAGAGUCAUCACUGUUUCAUGAGCUUUGGGUGAUGGCUGCUGCCAGUGUCUCUAUCCCUAAGGGGAAGCCCCAACUGCCUCCUGCCUCUCUAUGCAGCUCUUUAAGUUCAGUAAGUGUGUGUUAUCCAGGCUGCUUAAAGGUAACUGCCUCUGCUCUGGGUCUUGGAUCAUGUGCAGUUUUAUAUGUACCCUUUAGGAGCAGAGUCUUUGUUUCCUACAGCCCUUGGCUCUCCUGUGUACAAGCCCCACUGGCCUUAAAGCUACAUGUUCUAGAGGCUCAUCUUCCUUGUGCUGGGGUACCCAAGCUGGGGCUUGGACCCCUUACUUCUUGGCGAGAUGUCUACUAUUGACUAUACUCCUGCCUGUGGGUUGCCCGUCUGAGGAAGUGGGGUUGAUCUCAUCAUCAAAGUUCCUAAAAGACCUGUCUCAGUAGGAGUUUAAAAAUUCAGGUACACUGAGUGUUGCUCCGAAUCCUUUAUUAACUUUCUAUUGAGGAGUCAAGUCGUCCUAUCUUCCAUCAAAAUCCACUAACCACCACUGGUGCUUGGAGCAAAAAGAGAAGUCUUUCAACUACAGGUAAAGGAAACACACAAAAUGAGUCUUCAGGGACAAACAAUGCAUAUUCUGACAAAUAGGCCCACUAUAUAGCUUCUUCAGAGCAGGAUGUGCACUUGAACCUGUGAGCAAGGGGAGGGCUUUGGACUUUCAAGUUAAUGACACCAGGAAGGUGAGAGUGGAGGUAAAACAUCAGGAAAAUGUCUUUGUGAUUUACUUUACAAUCUUUGGUGGUUGUAGACAGCUAAUAAGGCCAGAAAGUGAUCCUGUCCACAGGGGACUGGCAUUAACCUGUUGUGUGAGGAGUCAAGAGACUACAAUGUUGUAGGACUUUGCAACCACAGUUGCAAACUACCAAUCACAGUUCCAUAGUGGGUAUUCUCAGAAGAAUAGUCACAGAAAUCUUAUUCUAGGAAAGGACUGACAAAUUUAGAAAGAGGCUUGAUUAAAUAAAGAACAGAAAGACCUCUUCAUUUUGUGGAGAAAAAACUGUUUCAGCUAGUGUAUACUAAUUAAGAGUCCAC
ensembl:lncRNA